rnacentral:rRNA from 1 species
GAUGGCGACCGGCGCACGGGUGAGUAACACGUAUCCAACCUGCCGAUGACUCGGGGAUAGCCUUUCGAAAGAAAGAUUAAUACCCGAUGGCAUAGUUCUUCCGCAUGGUGGAACUAUUAAAGAAUUUCGGUCAUCGAUGGGGAUGCGUUCCAUUAGGUUGUUGGCGGGGUAACGGCCCACCAAGCCUUCGAUGGAUAGGGGUUCUGAGAGGAAGGUCCCCCACAUUGGAACUGAGACACGGUCCAAACUCCUACGGGAGGCGGCAUG